AUAAAUGUUUACGUUUUUAAAGUUAUAUUUUUAGCGGUUUGUUAGUAAAAACAUCCUGUAACUGCUAAAAAAAUUCCCUCAAAUCCUUCUUGUUACCUCAGUUUCCAGUUUCCAUCUUGUCUGUUUUCACAGUCCAGGACCGUCUUUUCUCCACUGCAGUUUUUGACUUGCACUCCAUUUUCGCGAUUCGUUAGGGAGUGUACGACGGUAUCCUUCGUCGUUGGUCCCUCACCGGUUUUUAUGUGUCUGAUAGAGUUUGUUCCACCAUUGUGCAAAAGAAGCAAAAGAAGAGUCAUGUGCAAUUGUGCCUCUUGUGGAUCGAGGAAGCAAACACUUAGUGAAUGGGAAAAACAUACAGGUUGCAGAGCGAAAAGAUGGAAACAUAGUGUGAAAGUGAAAAGUACAAUGCUACCUCUGGAAAAAUGGUUGGUUGAACACAUUCCAUUAGAGGGAGUGUUAAGAAGUGGAAAGUUUAUGAAAGGAGGAAAAAGAAGAGUACCGAACGGUAAAGGACCAAACGGUAAGGGAGGAAGGUGUGAAGGACCGAACGGUAUCUACACUAAUAUCGAACGGUGUGAGGAAAGAGUGAAGGACUGAGCGGUAUCUACACUAAUACCGAAUGGUGGGAGGAAGGAGUGAAUGACCGAACGGUAUCUACACUAAUACCGAACGGUGGGAGGAAGGAGUGAAUGACCGAUCGAUAUCUACACUUUUGGUUACUUUGUGUGGUGUAGGUUCUCUUUGUGAGGUGAUCCAAUAUCUUAGAGGUAGCCUUCUAGGUGGUGGAGACCCAAAGGGAACUUGAAGUCUAGAGUGGUAGCCAAAAAGAAAGGAGAGAAACACUUUAGGAGGAAGCUUUGAUUUGUUUGUAAUUUUUUGGUUUUGUAAUCUUUUUUUUUUCUCUUGUAACUCACUGCCUUGUUAGGUGUCUUAGGGGAGUCUUUGGUGCCCAAUCCCAUCUCCUAACAAGAACCUUUAUUUCAUAGUAAUUUUCGUUUUUUUAGUUGGUUGGUUGGAGGAACCAAAGUUCUUCUAACGUAAUCAUUAGGUCGCAUAGCUAGUUUAUUUGCUUUCUUUAAUUAUGAUAGCUUAGUGUGUCAACUUUAAUUUCAACUUUAGUUCCCUUUGAGAAAUUUGGUUCAAGAGUGGCUAAGGUAAACUUUGGCUAGGAAAGGUUUGGUAUUUAAGAAAUCCAUUGUGAUUCACCUCCCUUUCCUAGAAGUGAACUUGGGUGUCUUUUGCCUCCUUAAGAGUCUUAAGGAACUUUCUUUGAAAUUUAAGUAUUUGUUUGUUGCAA